rnacentral:rRNA from 1 species
UGGGGAAUUUUGGACAAUGGGCGAAAGCCUGAUCCAGCAAUGCCGCGUGUGUGAAGAAGGCCUUCGGGUUGUAAAGCACUUUUGUCCGGAAAGAAAUCCUUGGCUCUAAUACAGUCGGGGGAUGACGGUACCGGAAGAAUAAGCACCGGCUAACUACGUGCCAGCAGCCGCGGUAAUACGUAGGGUGCAAGCGUUAAUCGGAAUUACUGGGCGUAAAGCGUGCGCAGGCGGUUUGCUAAGACCGAUGUGAAAUCCCCGGGCUCAACCUGGGAACUGCAUUGGUGACUGGCAGGCUAGAGUAUGGCAGAGGGGGGUUAGAAUUCCACGUGUAGCAGUGAAAUGCGUAGAGAUGUGGAGGAAUACCGAUGGCGAAGGCAGCCCCCUGGGCCAAUACUGACGCUCAUGCACGAAAGCGUGGGGAGCAAACAGGAUUAGAUACCCUGGUAGUCCACGCCCUAAACGAUGUCAACUAGUUGUUGGGGAUUCAUUUCUUAGUAACGUAGCUAACGCGUGAAGUUGACCGCCU